rnacentral:rRNA from 1 species
UAUGCAUGUCUAAGUAUAAACAAAUCUAUACUGUGAAACUGCGAAUGGCUCAUUAUAUCAGUUAUAGUUUAUUUGAUGGUUCUUGCUACUUGGAUAACCGUAGUAAUUCUAGAGCUAAUACAUGCACCAAACCUCGACUUUUUUGGAAGAGGUGUAUUUAUUAGAUGGAAACCAAUGCGGGGCAACCCGGAUUCAGGUGAUUCAUAAUAACUUUCGGAUCGAUCUUCGGAUCGAUGCAUCAUUCAAGUUUCUGCCCUAUCAGCUUUGGAUGGUAGGGUAUUGGCCUACCAUGGCUUUAACGGGUAACGGAGAAUUAGGGUUCGAUUCCGGAGAGGGAGCCUGAGAAACGGCAACCACAUCCAAGGAAGGCAGCAGGCGCGUAAAUUACCCAAUCCUGACACAGGGAGGUAGUGACAAUAAAUAACAAUGCCGGGCCUUUUUAAGUCUGGCAAUUGGAAUGAGAACAAUUUAAAUCCCUUAUCGAGGAUCAAUUGGAGGGCAAGUCUGGUGCCAGCAGCCGCGGUAAUUCCAGCUCCAAUAGCGUAUACUAAAGUUGUUGCAGUUAAAAAGCUCGUAGUUGAAUUUCUGGUCGUGGCGAUCGGUCCGCCCCUCACGGGGUGUGCACCAGGUCUCUACGUCCAUCCUCGGGGAGAGCACGUCUGGCAUUUAGUUGUCGGGCGUGGGAUCCUCGUCAUUUACUGUGAGCAAAAUAGAGUGUUCAAAGCAGGCUUAGGCCGUUGAAUACAUUAGCAUGGAAUAAUAAGAUAGGACCUUGGUCUAUUUUAUUGGUUUGCAUUCCA